GUGCCAGCAGCCGCGGUAAUACGGGGGGGGCAAGCGUUGUUCGGAAUUACUGGGCGUAAAGGGCGCGUAGGCGGCUUUUCAAGUCGGGCGUGAAAUCUCCGGGCUUAACCCGGAAGGGUCGUUCGAUACUGUUGAGCUAGAGUGUGGAAGAGGCAACUAGAAUUCCGUGUGUAGCGGUGAAAUGCGUAGAUAUACGGAGGAAUACCUGAGGCGAAGGCGGGUUGCUGGGCCAACACUGACGCUGAGGCGCGAAAGCCAGGGGAGCAAACGGGAUUAGAUACCCCCGUAGUCC
rnacentral:rRNA from 1 species